ensembl:lncRNA
AUGGGAGUGGUGGGCUGAGGUGAUACUGGAACAGGGGAGACAGCGGUGGAAACAUUUCGAGCAGGUUUUUCAGCUUGGUGAGGUGGUGCAUGUCACAAUAAAUAAAUAAAAAUUAAAUAAAAUAAAUAAGUACAAAUAGAAUUCAAUAUCAACAAGUCUAUUAAAUGAGAGUAUAAUUGCUGAACAUAUUGGCAAAGGACAUGUCAGUACAGCAAACAACAACACUACUACUACUACUACUAAUAAUAAUAAUAAUAAUAAUAAUAAUAAUAAUAAUAAUACAGCCACAGUUACAUGCUGCUGGGGUUGAACAAUUUGACGGUUUAAUAUCAAUUAUCACAAUAUAUGUCAUCAUAAUCUUUUUUUCUGAGAUCUCACCAGAUAUCUUGAUAUCUUUUCCUCUGGUUUUAUGCAUUUAAUAUAAUUUAAAAAACAAUAAAUAAAUAAAAAGAAUUACACUGGUAAUAGAUAGAUAGAUAGAUAGAUAGAUAGAUAGAUAGAUAGAGAGAUAGAUAGAUAGAUAGAUAGAUAGAUAGAGAGAGAGAGAUACAUAGAUACAUAAAUACUAUAGAUAGAUAAAUAGACAGAGAGAUAGAGAGAGAUAGAUAGAUGGAGAGAUAGAUAGACAGAGAGAUAGACAGAGAGAUAGAUAGAUACUGUAGAUAGAUAGAUAGACAGAGAGAUAGAGAGAUACUAUAGAUAGAUAGAUAGACAGAGAGAUAGAGAGAUACUGUAGAUAGAUAGAUAGACAGAGAGAUAGAGAGAUACUAUAGAUAGAUAGACAGACAGACAGAGAUACUAUAGAUAGAUAGACAGAGAGAUAGAGAGAUACUGUAGAUAGAUAGAUAGACAGAGAGAUAGAAUAGAUAGAUAGAUAGAUCCAGCUACAGGAUUUAUAAGCAUAAUGCCUUUUGUGACAUUUUUAUUCUUCUUCUUUUUUUAAUAGUUGCUUAUUUAUUAAUUAAUGCAUAUUUAUUUAUCUGUAAUUGAACUUAACGAGCAAUCAAACGAACUCCUGAGCACACGCCAUGAAGCAGUUCUGCGCCUCAGCUGGAUUCCAAAUCCCAGUGUCCGCGUCCUCAGGUGCGUAACUUGAUGCGCCACAGAAACCGCAGCACUUAGACACCCGAAACCCCCGUGUGCUCCUUCAUCUCCCUCUGCUCCAUCCUCCUGCUCCACCAGUCCUCUCCACAUACUC